AGCCGGGCCGGGGACACCGGCGCCGCCCCCUCGGCUCCCUCUGAAGGCCCGCGGCCCCCGGGCUCGCGUGGAGCUGCCGGAGCCGCCUGGCCGCGCCGGAGGAGGGCAGGGAGAGGACCAUGUGCCUGGGCUCCGGAGCGGGGCACCGCGCAGUUUUCUGAAGAGGCAGGAUGCUGAUCUAGAUGUGGAAAAAGACCAGUCCUGCUGCUGUUUUAGAAGACAUGUGGUGCAUAUAAAGUCUGUGGUAGUUGGCGGAAAUUUAGAAUUUAGAUAAUGGGCUGUGUGCAAUGUAAGGACAAAGAAGCAACAAAACUGACGGAGGAGAGGGAUGGCAGCCUGAACCAGAGCUCCGGGUACCGCUAUGGCACAGACCCCACCCCACAGCACUAUCCCAGCUUCUGUGUGACCUCCAUCCCGAACUACAACAACUUCCACACAGCGGGAGGCCAGGGGCUCACCGUCUUUGGAGGGGUGAACUCCUCGUCUCACACUGGGACCUUGCAUACGAGAGGAGGCACAGGAGUGACACUCUUUGUGGCUCUUUAUGACUAUGAAGCAUGGACAGAAGAUGACUUGAGCUUCCACAAAGGAGAAAAGUUUCAAAUACUGAACAGCUCGGAAGGAGACUGGUGGGAAGCCCGCUCCUUGACAACUGGAGAGACAGGUUACAUUCCCAGCAAUUAUGUGGCACCAGUUGACUCCAUCCAAGCAGAAGAGUGGUACUUCAGAAAACUUGGCCACAAAGAUGCCGAGCGACAGCUUCUGUCCUUUGGAAACCCAAGAGGUACCUUUCUUAUCUGCGAGAGCGAAACCACCAAAGGUGCCUAUUCACUUUCUAUCCGUGAUUGGGAUGAUAUGAAAGGAGACCAUGUCAAACAUUAUAAAAUUCGCAAACUCGACAAUGGUGGAUACUACAUCACCACCCGGGCCCAGUUUGAAACACUUCAGCAGCUUGUACAGCAUUACUCAGAGAGAGCCGCAGGUCUCUGCUGCCGCCUAGUAGUCCCCUGUCACAAAGGCUUACCGAUCUGUCUGUCAAAACCAAAGAUGUCUGGGAAAUCCCUCGAGAAUCCCUGCAGUUGAUCAAGAGCCUGGGAAAUGGGCAGUUUGGGGAAGUAUGGAUGGGUACCUGGAAUGGAAACACAAAAGUAGCCAUAAAGACUCUUAAGCCAGGCACAAUGUCCCCUGAAUCAUUCCUCGAGGAGGCACAGAUCAUGAAGAAGUUGAAGCACGACAAGUUGGUCCAGCUGUACGCGGUGGUGUCUGAAGAGCCCAUCUACAUUGUCACUGAGUAUAUGAACAAAGGAAGUUUACUUGAUUUCUUAAAAGAUGGUGAAGGAAGAGCUCUGAAAUUACCAAAUCUUGUGGAUAUGGCAGCACAGGUCGCUGCAGGAAUGGCUUACAUUGAGCGCAUGAAUUAUAUCCACAGAGAUCUGCGAUCAGCAAACAUUCUAGUGGGCAGUGGACUGAUCUGCAAGAUCGCUGACUUUGGAUUGGCCCAGCUAAUUGAGGACAGUGAAUACACAGCGAGACAAGGUGCGAAGUUCCCCAUUAAGUGGAUGGCCCCCUAAGCGGCGCUGUGUGGGAGGUUCACAAUCAAGUCUGACGUGUGGUCUUUUGGAAUCUUACUCACAGAGCUGGUCACCAAAGAAAGAGUGCCAUACCCAGGUAUGAACAACCGGGAGGUGCUGGAGCAGGUGGAGCGUGGCUACCGGAUGCCCUGUCCACAGGACUGCCCCAUCUCUCUGCACGAGCUCAUGAUCCACUGCUGGAAAAAGGACCCCGAAGAGCGCCCCACUUUUGAGUACUUACAGAGCUUUCUGGAAGACUACUUUACCGCCACAGAGCCCCAGUACCAGCCUGGGGAAAACCUGUGAGAGCCGGUCUGCAGAGGCCUUGUCCCAGAGGCUCCCCGCCCCUACCCAUUAGCUUUCAAUUCUGUAGCCAGCUGCCCAGCAGCGAGAACCGCCCAGGAUCAGAUUGCAUGUGACUCUGAAGCUGAUGAACUUCCAUGGCCCUCAUUAAUGACAUUUGUCCCCAAAU